GCAGCCGCGGUAAUACGGAGGAUGCGAGCGUUAUCCGGAUUUAUUGGGUUUAAAGGGUGCGUAGGCGGGUUGCUAAGUCAGUGGUAAAAGCGUGUGGCUCAACCAUACCAAGCCAUUGAAACUGGCGAUCUUGAGUGCAAACGAGGUAGGCGGAAUGUGACGUGUAGCGGUGAAAUGCUUAGAUAUGUCACAGAACCCCGAUUGCGAAGGCAGCUUACCAGCAUGCAACUGACGCUGAGGCACGAAAGCGUGGGUAUCAAACAGGAUUAGAUACCCC
rnacentral:rRNA from 1 species